CACGUAGGGCGCAAGCGUUGUCCGGAAUUAUUGGGCGUAAAGAGCUCGUAGGCGGUCUGUUACGUCUGCUGUGAAAACCCGGGGCUUAACCCUGGGCUUGCAGUGGAUACGGGCAGACUAGAGGCAGGUAGGGGAGAAUGGAAUUCCCGGUGUAGCGGUGAAAUGCGCAGAUAUCGGGAGGAACACCGGUGGCGAAGGCGAGGCGCUGGACCCUUUCUGACGCUGAGGCGCGAAAGCCAGGGGAGCAAACGGG
rnacentral:rRNA from 1 species